CCGAUCUCAACGAGCCUAGCGGUCGCCGUCCUUGUCCUGCUCGAGGAGCAAGGGGAGGGGCGCAUCUAGCCAGCCACAAAGGGCCUGCUCUGUACCACCACAUCAUCGGCCUUCUGCAGCAUCGAGUUCAAUAUGUCAGGUGACCCUUCCUAUCCUGUCUGAUAUGAUGGUCAAUAGUUGCUUGUAGAUGAAUGAUGAAGUGUUGCUGUGAAUGUGAAUGAGUAGCCACAAGUCUGUUUCACUACGGGAAACAACUAGUUUGCCGUCAGGCAUGUACAGACGGCAAAGAAGCAAAUACAGACAGCAAAGAGUUUGGCUGACGGCAAACUUAGACGGCAAAGAUAAGUCGGCAAAGAGUACUACGCCGUCAGCUUUUCAUCGGACAGACGGCAAAGAUUUUGCCGUCAACCAAACUACUUUCCUUUGCCGUCAAUCAAUUUGUUAACUGAAGGCAAAAUCGGCAUCUUUGCCGUCAGCAAUGCCCCCUCUUUGCCGUCUCCUCUCAAAUCCACAUACGGCAAACAUUUUUUUAAAACAAAAAAAAACAUAGUUGUUCGUUCAUGUUCCUGUUCGUUCGAAAUUUUCAUUCGUUCUUUGGAGUUCUUGUUCGUUCGUUGGAGUAGCAGCUGAGAAGGCAGCGAGUUCGGGGUUGGACCACCGCAUUUGUCUCCGAGGCACGAACACGCGCGAGGCAGAGGGCGGCAUCCUCUUCUGCUUGAAGCUGGAACAGGGCGAGGCGACGAGGAGGCCGUCAUCUGGUCGUGGCUGGAACAGGGAUCGACGAUGACGCGUAAUUGGAACGGGCAGAGGACGGCGAGAACCUCCGGAUCCGGACGAAAACGGAGUUGGAGCAGCCGGCGGCAAAGCAAAUGGCAAGGGCGGCAUGGAUCUGAUGAGGGGCGGCCAUGGUUAGCCUCGUGUACAUGCAAGGGAGAUAGAGACCAGGGGGAGGGAGAGAAGAUACACGAGAGAGGGGGUGGCCGGAGCGGUGGCCUGUGGCGGAGCGGCGGUGGCGGCCUGUACGGCGAGCGGCGGCGGCAACCUGUGCGGGGAGCGGCGGUGCCGGCCGGUGGGGCGAGCGGCGCGGGCCUCCUGUGCUGCGAGAAACAGAAAGGGGGGAGCUGAGGCAGCGGCUGGUGCGGUGAGUUGCUGCGGCGACCAGUGGGCCGGGCAGCGCCGGCGCCCGGUGGGGCGAGCGGCGCCGGCCUGUGAUGCGAGAAAGGGGGAUCGAGCAGUUCGUCGUUGAGAGAGAGACGACAGAGAGGGGUGGGUACGUGAGAGAGAGAUGGUGGAGGAUAAGGGAGAGAGUGGUGGGGUCGGGUUGGGGCUAGCUGGUGCGUGCGAUGCAUGGUGGGGGUUGGUGCCCCGCCACGUCAUCGAUCCAGGGGACAUUGGUUCCAGCCAAUAGGAGCACAACAAAACAUUUGUAUUUGUUUAGCCUAUUAAUGUUUUCCAAAUAAACAUGUUAAAAUAUAGUAAUUUUUUUCAAAAAAUUUCCAUGCCUUUUAGGACUUGUAAAGUUGUACCACACCAAAAUUCAUAUUCUUUAGACCUUGUUUACAUUUUCAAAAAAAUCAAAAGUCAAUACAGUUAUCUACGGGCUGUGUUUUCUCUUUGCCGUCUGUGGUUUUUUCUACAGACGGCAAAAAGCUUACUUUGCCGUCUAUAAAAAAAAUGCAAACGGCAAAGAUUUUGCCGUCUACAUUUUCUUCUAUAGACGGCAAAGUAAGCUCUUUGCCGUCUGUAAGAAAAAUCGCAGAUGGCAAAGAUACUUUGCCGUUUGUGUUUGUUUUUACACACGGCAAAGUGUCCUCUUUGCCGUCUGUAAAAUAAAUUGUAGACGUCAAAGUAUCUUUGCUGACAGCCGUUCUUUGCCGUUUGCAGCUGUCGGCAAAGUAGGUCUUUGCCGUCUGCCCCGACGAUAUGCUGACGGCAAAGAGCGGUACAGACGGCAAAUCUUCUUUUCAUGUAGUGUUUGCAUCAUUGCCAUAGCUAGUGAAUGAGCAGCCACAAGUCUAUUUGCGUCACUGCCAUAGUUACCUGAAUACAAAUGAGCAGCCACAAGUCUGUCUGUACUGUCACAUUGCCAUCCAUAGCUGCCAAUCACUGUAGAUAAAUAGAAUUUCCCCAAAACUAUGUGGGAAAUUCGGUUAACCUUGUUGAAUCAGAUAUCAUUCUGACACCUGAUUAGCAUAUCACUUGUCUAUGUUCAGUGAAGAGUAUUCAGUUUAGAUGCAGAUUUAGUCAACACUAUGGAUCAGUAUUCAGUUUAGAUGUAGAUACAGUCAACACUAGGUAUCAAUACAUGUUUGUGAAUGUGAUAUGCACGGUUUCUUAUUAGAUCUCAACUUCAGCAUCUAUUUUUCAUUGUUAGGAGAAUGUUAUAUGCACAACUUCACUUGAUUUCCUAACUUUUUUGAUUUAUAACCUGCAGAUGCGGUGUACAACAGCCCCAGGAGAAGAAUCCCGAAGAAAACCAGCACCCAACUAUGUGUUUUAGCUCCCUGGAGCUGGCCAUGUUAAUAUUAGGUGUAUUUUAUAGUUGAAUACCUG
rnacentral:lncRNA from 1 species